GGUCUGGAGACUUGGCUCAGGUUUGGUCUGGUUUAGUCUGCAGACUUGGCUCAGGAUUUAGUCUGGUUUGGUCUGGAGACUUGGCUCUGGUUUGGUCUGGAGACUUGGCUCAGGUUUAGUCUGGUUUGGUCUGGAGACUUGGCUCAGGUUUGUCUGGAGACUUGGCUCUGGUUUGGUCUGGAGACUUGGCUCUGGUUUGGUCUGGAGACUUGGCUCAGGUUUAGUCUGGUUUGGUCUGGAGACUUGGCUCUGGUUUGGUCUGGAGACUUGGCUCAGGUUUAGUCUGGUUUGGUCUGGAGACUUGGCUCUGGUUUAGUCUGGUUUGGUCUGGAGACUUGGCCCUGGUUUGGUCUGGAGACUUGGCUCAGGUUUAAUCUGGUUUGGUCUGGAGACUUGGCUCAGGUUUAAUCUGGAACUUGGCUCUGGUUUGGUCUGGAGACUUGG